UACGGAGGGGGCGAGCGUUAUUCGGAAUUAUUGGGCGUAAAGGGCGCGUAGGCGGCAAUUCAAGUCAUCUGUGAAAUCUCCGGGCUUAACCCGGAACGGUCAGGUGAUAUCUGUUUUGCUAGAGUGCGGAAGGGGCAAUCGGAAUUCUCGGUGUAGCGGUGAAAUGCGUAGAUAUCGAGAGGAACACCAGAGGUGAAGACGGGUUGCUGGGCCGACACUGACGCUGACAGCGCGAAAGCCAGGGGAGCAAACGGG
rnacentral:rRNA from 1 species